GUAACUAUUAUUUUUUUCAGACGCUGAUUGCAAUUGCAAAGAGUUUAAAGUUGUCCAAUCGGCGGGUCAGACCCGCCGAGGAAACAUGUAGUACGCAAAAGACAUGGAUACAGACAGGAGCUAUAGCGGACUAUAAACUCCAUACUGAAAGGUAAUGAUCCUUCCGCAGGUUCACCUACGGAAA
rnacentral:misc_RNA from 1 species